rnacentral:rRNA from 1 species
UACGGAGGGUGCAAGCGUUAUCCGGAUUCACUGGGUUUAAAGGGUGCGUAGGUGGGUUGGUAAGUCAGUGGUGAAAUCCCCGAGCUUAACUUGGGAACUGCCAUUGAUACUAUCAGUCUUGAAUACCGUGGAGGUCGGCGGAAUAUGUCAUGUAGCGGUGAAAUGCUUAGAUAUGACAUGGAACACCAAUUGCGAAGGCAGCUGGCUACACGAAUAUUGACACUGAGGCACGAAAGCGUGGGGAUCAAACAGG